rnacentral:rRNA from 1 species
CGGUUGAUCCUGCCGGACCCGACCGCUAUCGGGGUGGGACUAAGCCAAGCGAGUCGAGCGCCCCGGGCUACGGCGGGGCGCGGCGGACGGCUCAGUAACACGUGGCUAACCUACCCUCGGGAGGGGGAUAACCUCGGGAAACUGAGGCUAAUCCCCCAUAGGUGGAGAGGCCUGGAAUGGUUCUCCACCGAAAAGGUCCCGGCGCCAUGCCCGCCGGUACCGCCCGAGGAUGGGGCCACGGCCGAUUAGGUAGUUGGUGGGGUAACGGCCCACCAAGCCGAUAAUCGGUACGGGCCGUGAGAGCGGGAGCCCGGAGAUGGGGACUGAGACAAGGCCCCAGGCCCUACGGGGCGCAGCAGGCGCGAAACCUCCGCAAUGCGGGAAACCGCGACGGGGUCACCCCGAGUGCCGCCCUAACGGGUGGCUGUGGCC